UCUCAGUGCCCAGAAAUGCUUUUGGUCCUUAGUCCUGUAGCUGUGGGAGGGAGGAAGAGUUGGGGGAGUGGCAAGUGAGAAGGAUUAUCUUGCCAAGAGUCAGGUAUAAAUUAAUAUAGAGUCUGGUCCUAGAAGCAAGGCGUUUUCUUCAAGGUGAUUAAUAUAUGGGAGUUCUUCGCUUAGUUCGAGGGACUUGGACUGGGGACCUGACUUCUCCUUAGAGACCGGCCCUUAGACUGGGGCCAACAGUGGAAGCUAACUGGGCCUGAAAGCUUCCUGGACCUUCAAGCGGUUUUGGGAGGAGCCUCAACACCAGGCUGCCCUCCGGCUGCCAGCCUUGGAUCACGAGGCCCUGGAGGGCACAGGCGACCAGCAAUUUCUUCUCAUUCUCCAGGAGUGAGUGAGUGAAGUCUCUCAGUCGUGUCCGACUCUUUGCGACCCCAUGGACUAUAGCCUACCAGGCUCCACUAUCCAUGGGAUUUUCCAAGCAAGAAUACUGGAGGGGAUUGCCAUUUCCUUCUCCAGGAGAUCUUCCCGACCCAGGGACUGAACCCAGGUCUCCCGCAUUGUAGACAGACGCUUUACCAUCUGAGCCACCAGGGAAGUUUUUCUCUGGACACACCUGGAAAUCAAUGGAACACAGCCUUCCAGAAGGUAGAGUAGGACCUGCAGGGAGAGUGGCAGGCGGGUCUCUGACAGUCAAGACACGGCCUUUGAAGCACCAUUAUUCCAUGAGGCCCUUUCUCAUCCUUCUCCCAACGCAGAGCCAGAUGCUGUGGAACUUCUAGGGAGAUGCCUAGAAAUGCGGCACCUGUCUGGAGUCAUAAGGCAAAUUCAAGGACCAAGCCAUUAGCCAGGGAAAGGAAAGCAGGAAGAGAGCACCGACCGACGUCCUUGAUGCCACCCCAAGCCAUUGUACAGUCUGCUUGGGUGCUUCCUGCUGCAAGAGAUGACUCUUUGAGAGUCCUAUGGAUGCAAGGAGAUUAAACCAGUCAAUCCUAAAGGAAAUCAACCCUGAAUAUUCACUGGAAGGACCGUUGCUGAAGCUCCAAUACUUUGGCCACCUGAUGUGAACAGCGGACUCAUUGGAAAAGACCCUGAUGCUGGGAAAGACCGAAGGCAAGAGGAGAAGAGGGCAGCAGAGGAUGAGAUGGUGGGUGGCAUCACCAACACAAUGGACAUGAAUUUGAGCAAAUUCUGGGAGACAGCGGAAGACAGAGGAGCCUGAUGUGCUGCAGUCCGUGGCAUCCCUAAGAGUCAGACACGACUUGGCAACUGAAUAACAACAACACAGAAUGUUGCUAACAGAGAUCUUAAAUAGUCCUACCACAAAAAAGAAAAUGUAAUUAUGUAAGGGGACGGAGGUAUUAGCUAAUGAUAUGGUUGAAUCAGUUUGCAAUAUAUAAAUUUAUGAAAUCAAUAUAAUGGACAUCUUAAUAAAGCUGUGGGGGGGGGGCGAGGAACAGUGACAGUUAAGUGUAAGUGCUCCAUAAAUGCUGCUACAGAUAAAAAAAAAGGCCCAAUACUGAGUGAAGAGGUAAGGCUGAAAAACAGGUUUUGUAAAAAGAAAAAUAUAGCCAUCAAUAUAUGUGGUAAAAGACCUAGAGACACAGAUAAGAUAAUGUCAACUGCUGUCUGUGGGUACGGAGUUUAUAAAUGAUUUCUCCCUUCGUAUUUUUCUGUAUUUCUGCAAAACAUAUAUAACAAUGGACUGAAAGAUCUUAAAAAAGAAGACAAGAGUUAUUUCUGGGAAGUAACUUCAUACCUCACAUGGAUUACUUAUAUCCCAGUUUUGCUGAUUUGUUCCAUGACUGAAAUUACUGGACAAGGCUCACUGAAAGCAAACACUGGGGGAAAAACAAUGUCCAAAGCAGCAGGAGGCACUUGUUUUAAAACAUUGGGUCAAAAUUUUUCUAAGAAUUUCAGCUAUACCUAGCCCUACGUUGGGAGCAAUCAGUAUCCAUUUUGAUACAGCAGCCGUAUCUGACCUUAGAAGAUGUUGAGAAGUAUUUAUUAAAAC